rnacentral:SRP_RNA from 14 species
ACCGCGGCGAGGACGUCGGCUUCGCGUAAGAUGUGCACUGUUGGAUGGGGCGCUCGUAUGCUGUAGUCGGCCGCGUCAGGAGGGCCUUCGGCGUAAGCGCUGUGCACCGCCUCAGGGUGGAAGAGCACGAUCUGCAAGUGCUCCGCAUGGCCCUCCCGGACGAUCGCCUCCUCCUGUAGCCGCCA